UCCGCCAUAUCGGGCAUUCAGCUCUAGGCUUCACUCUCCUGCUUAGGAUUACCAGGUCGCUCUGCUGAAGGGGCUGAAGGUCUCUAGGGAGAAGGACUGGCUCCUGAACACCCAGAAAUGGAAUUGUUGACAUUCAGGGAUGUGGCCAUUGAUUUCACUGAAGAGGAGUGGAAAUGCCUUCAACCAGCUCAAAAAAACUUAUAUAGAAAUGUGAUGUUAGAGAAUUACAGAAACUGGUCUUCCUAGGAAUGAGACUCUUCACCCCUCAUCAGCAGGAAGAAGCUACAGAAGAAGGACCAUUGUAGCAUCCCUGGUAUCUAUAAAAACAAAAUGGGAUGAAUAUUGGAAUCAGAUCUGCCAUUUCACUGCCACCAUUAUUCUGCCCCUCCACACCAUUUUACAACCUAGAUUGUUAGCCUAAGAACUUUCUAGUCAAUCA